rnacentral:rRNA from 1 species
AGAGUUUGAUCCUGGCUCAGGACGAACGCUGGCGGCGUGCCUAAUACAUGCAAGUCGAGCGCAGGAAGCUCACGGAACUCUUCGGAGGGAAGUGAAGGGAAUGAGCGGCGGACGGGUGAGUAACACGUAAGGAACCUGCCCCAAGGAUUGGGAUAACUCCGAGAAAUCGGAGCUAAUACCGAAUAGUUCUUCAGACCGCAUGGUCUGAUGAUGAAAGGCGCUCCGGCGUCACCUUGGGAUGGCCUUGCGGUGCAUUAGCUAGUUGGUGGGGUAAUGGCCCACCAAGGCGACGAUGCAUAGCCGACCUGAGAGGGUGAUCGGCCACACUGGGACUGAGACACGGCCCAGACUCCUACGGGAGGCAGCAGUAGGGAAUCUUCCACAAUGGACGAAAGUCUGAUGGAGCAACGCCGCGUGAGUGAUGAAGGUUUUCGGAUCGUAAAACUCUGUUGUAAGGGAAGAACAGGUAUGAGAGGUAAUGCUCAUGCUAUGACGGUACCUUGCGAGAAAGCCACGGCUAACUACGUGCCAGCAGCCGCGGUAAUACGUAGGUGGCAAGCGUUGUCCGGAAUUAUUGGGCGUAAAGCGCGCGCAGGCGGCCUUUUAAGUCUGAUGUGAAAGCCCCCGGCUCAACCGGGGAGGGUCAUUGGAAACUGGAAGGCUUGAGUACAGAAGAGAAGAGUGGAAUUCCAUGUGUAGCGGUGAAAUGCGUAGAGAUGUGGAGGAACACCAGUGGCGAAGGCGACUCUUU